GCUAAGCAGUCCUUGACAUGACCUGCUUUCUCCAUUCCCCAUCUGAUGUUUCUGCCCAGACCCCCGGAAGCCCGGGCCUGGCCUCUAGCUGGCUCACAAGAUGUUCUGGACUGAACUCCCAUGGUUGGGCUCGGAGCGGAGCAGAGAGGGCUGGCUGUGUAUAUGGCCUGUGUAUAUGUGAAUGGGGGCUGGGCUGACAGGUGAAGUUGAAGGUAAGGAUACCCAUGGCCUGGUUCCCAGAUUCCUUUUCAAGUUCUCCACAGUUUGCCAAAGUUCCUGGAGGUUGGAACCUUUUCCAAAGUUAGUAAAUGAACGUGACAACAUAGCUUUGGUUGCUCAAAAUUGGGAAGGUUUCGAAGUAAGAAAAGUGGGGGAAAUGGUUGGUGGUGUUGGCAACGUUUUCUAUACUGUAUGCUUUUAAGGAUGAAUUCCCGUUGAAAAGCGCCACGUCUAAGAAUGAGAUACACAUACAUGUAUGCCGGCCUCCGGGUAACCGUGCGGGCUUCUCUCCGGGUUCACUUUCCCUGCCGUCGUGGAUGAGUAAGCUCUGCUCUGGCAACGGCUGCCUGGCCUCGGUGUUGACCCGAAGCCUCUCCAGACCGCAGAUAGCCAGGUAUUCGGCAGGGAGAGUGUUGGGGCUGCACAGAGAAAGCUUCAGGUCCCGGACCAACGUGAAGUUCAGCAGAAGGCCCAGUGCAUAUGCAUCUGUGAACCAGACGGUCAGACGGUCAUCGUAGCUGGUUUGCUCUAUUGCGGAAGGCAGGACGGUGUGGCAGCUGCACAUCAAGUUGGCCAAAGUGUAGUCACAGUCCCGGACGUCCGCGGAGCAAGUGCAGUUCCGAAUGGUGUUUUCCUUCGUGAAGAUCAGAGUGCUGUUCCUCUGACCUCCUGUGAAGCAACCCAGGACAAGGAUGCCCAGGGCGCUGGUCAGCAGGAGGCUGUGCCCAGAAGGUGGGGCCAUUCUUGUCUCAGCGUGGGCCCGCAAGGUUGUGUCUCCCCUUCGUGAGCCAGUUCAUUGCAACUCAACUGAAAGACAAAUACACAGUUGUGUUAUUGCAGGCUCUCAUUAGAAAUAUGCGGGUCAUGGGGCGCCCGGCUGGCUCGGUUGGUAGAGCAUGUGACUCUUAAUCUCAGGGUCGUGAGUCUGAGCCCCAUGUUGGGUGUAGAGGUUGCUUAAAAAAAUAGGAAGGUUAGGGGAAUGGAGCCCCCUAAAUAAUCCAUCGCAAACAUUUCUCUCUUGUGGUUCUAUCAAAGGCAGGCAACGCAAAUGCCUGAGUGGAACCCAAGUGCAGAAAUGAUCUUUUCUCAGAGCCUCGUGAGAGGCAGUGGCCAGCCUACCCGUGUGAGGCAUAAAACUCCCUGUGAUGUCUGCUGGGAGACUGACAUACCAGCAGCAACAAGAUGGGGUGCCAGAGAUGAGACCCAGUGCGCCUGUCUGGGUGCACCAGGGAUCUGUGGUGCUUUGAGCGUGCACACUCUUCAAACAUCGUGUUACUUGUAUUGAGUACUCGACAACCCCUUAAACGUGCACAUUCCCUCCUCCCCUCAAUAUCUGACUUCCUGGAAUUCAGGAGACCAGCAGCUCCAUGAUGGACUCAGCUAUCCAAGUGCUACCUGUGAAACAACAUAGCAUGCAUACCAGCGAAACAUUUAAUGAUAACCUUUAAUUUCUAACUAGACAAACAUCCCCCCCAUCAUAUUAAUCUGUUUAUAGAUCCAUUGAUACUUUCCUGGUCUCCUAGAAAUAGGAGUAUUAGAGUAGAUUUUACCGUGUUAAUAGACCAUGAAAACACUAAUCACAUGCCAGUUACUUGCAAUGAACUUUUCAUUGCCUCCUUUCCCAGAACACCUGUUAUAAAUUGAUUUUAUCAAGUAACUUAGUGUAAGGCUCCAAAACUAAGCAAUAUAUCAGCACUGUUAAAUGACCUAAACAAGAUAAGUCCAUGCUUAGUGUAAGGAGCAACAUCAAUGUCCAAUUUGGAGGAAAAUGGCCUAAGUACUUGAUAUAUAAUAGAUGCGUGGUAUUCUUUUCUGGUGAGGUUGGAAUGAGACACACGUUAUGAAAUAGGGCUCCAGGUUCCAGUCUUGCAAGAAUAAUUACAUUUCCUGGGGCUCCUGGGUGGCUCAGUUGGUUGGUUAAGCAUCUGACUCUUGAUCUCAACUCAGGUCAUGAUCUUGCAGUUUGUGGGAUAGAGCCCCAUGUAGGACUCUGUUCUGACAAGCAGAGCCUGCUUGAGAUUCUCUCUCUCCCUCUCUCUCUGCCCCCCACUCCCACUCGCUCGUUCUCUCCCAAAAUAAAUAAACACUAAAAAAAAAAAUAAUUAAAAUAAGAAUAAUUACACUUCCCCUGAGUUAGCUGAUGGCUGACCAAAAGAUACAAGACCAAAGAUACAAUUCAAUUAAUCUGAAUUGACCAAAGAUACAAUUCAGUCCGUCUGCAUGUACAAAUCACCAUGCAUCUGGAAAAAUACUUGGAAUGAGGCCUCUGGCUCAGAGAGUCCAGGGCUGGUGACAGGGCCCUCAUAGGAAGGCUGCGGAGGGACAGACGAGUCAGUCCGAGGAGCUGAACGUGUGUCCAAAGAGGGUGGUGGUGACAGCAGGAAAGAGGUGAGGCAGACGUGCAACACUUAGGGUGCAAGAUGAGGCCCCGAGGUGGCAAAGCAAGGCAAAGAGAAAUCCAAGGGAGGCAACGCUAAAAAUGCCGGGGUCAGGUGGACAGGGAGGAAGCACACGUUCGUCAGCAGGUGGCCGGAGACUAAAAAUAAGCUCAGCUAAGUAAACUUGAACAGAAAGUAAGACACUGGUUCACAGGAAUCAUAAUAUCAUUCAUUCAUUCAUUUGCUCAUUCAUUCAUUCAUUCACUCAGCAAAUGUUUACUGAGAGUUCACUAGCUGGCAGGCACUUUGCUGGCUCUGGGGAUACAGCCCAGAAGACAGCGAGGUUAUGGAAGUUGGAUUCUAAGCGACUUGAUUCUGCUUCCAGAGCCCAAGGCGGGCCAGGCCUGCGUGUGAGGACCAAGGGCCUGCAGCAGCAGGGUGGAGAGGGAGGCAAAGGCAGGAGUAGGGUGGGGCUCAGCACGGGCCAUGUGCCAAGGCCGAGCAGAAGACACAAAGAUGAACAAAACCUGUACCCUGCCCUCCAAGGGCUCAUAAGCGGAAGAGGAAGACAAAUAGGGCAGGACUGAGAAAGGCCCUAUUGAAUGUACGUGUGGUUAUAGGAACGCAGCAGAGAGAUAGGUUAAAGUCCAUUUGGGGGACUGAAUAAGGUGCUUUAUAUAGUGCUUUGUGUUGACUCUGAAGUUGUUACAGGGUUUUCUUAAAGGAUGUAUUCGUUAGUGCAUUUUGUCAUAAAAGAAAGGGCUUUGAGAAAUGCUCCCAUAGAGCCAGCAUUCUUCCUGAACACGAGGUUUAAGGGUUUUAAAUAGUUUUAGGAUGUGGUGGUGACUACCCCACUUAGUAAGGAGCAGUGACUAACUUAUUAAUUACAAGAUAAUUUUAGAUGAUCGGUUGUCCCCGAUUCCGCUGGAGGUUUGUUUCUAGGACUUCAUGCCCCAGUAACGCUUUCAUAUCAGAACUGAGAAAGCUGUCAUCGACACCACUGGCUUGCUCUGAUCUCAGCCUGGAGGGGAAAGGGAGGUGAAAAAGGGUCUAUCCACAAGCCUGGAACCUGGUGAGAAAAGUGUCUGCUUCAUUUUCCAGGUGCUGAUACCAUUCAGAGGCAUGCAUGGAAGAAGGAAAGAGGUAGGAAGGGAAACAGACAUUGGUUUCCUGAAACAAGGGGAGACUAGAGAUCAUAAAAGGUUUGCGAGCAGCACCUCUUCCCGGCCCUGCAGUCAAGUCCCUGGCUGGAUCUCAGGGUGGCCCCUGCCUUCUGGGUAUCAGGGAGUUCAAAGGCUGGAACAUGGAGGCCGGAUGCAUGAGGCCUGGUGUUGGCUUACAAAGUAGGACAAAUAUUCCUGGUAACAAGCCUAUGGGGUUUCCAAAAAGAUGCUAGUUGGACAUUUUUCUCCUUCGGUUUUACCCUGGACUUCUCUCUUUAGAUUUGUUGAAUGUGGAUUGUGAUCACCCUGGUUUUACUGUGUAUUUAUUCAUUUGUGGGCAGAUUCCGGCAUGGCCUCAGCAGAAUGGGCACAGAUACAUCACACUGUCCCUGCUCCUUCCUGUGCCCCUGACCAUAAUGGGUGUGGUGCCAUGGGGAAAGGAACUGUUGUUUUCCUCUGCGGGUUGCUCAGCUUGUUAGAAGGGAAAUCUUGAUCUACUGGUGACUGUCUUGUCUCCAGAAGGGGGGAGAUUGCCCUACAAUGGAGCCAACAGAGAGGAGAACAGACAAGAAACGCAGAGACAUUUCUAACAACUUUUUCGAGCACCGGGAUCAAGCCAUGCCUGACAUCCUUCUUUGAUUUCUGAAAUAAGUGAGCCAAAAAAUUUUUCCCCCUACUCAAACCAGUCUGAAUUGGAUUUCUGUAACAAGCAGUGAGAAGAGUAUGCUGACAUUGGGCAAACUAUCUUUUGCCCCCCCUUCUUUCAAUAUACCUUUGUUGCGUCCUUGCUGUGUGCUGGGCAUGGUGUGUGAUAAUCACUAUAAUAGCAUUUUGUAUGGGGUGUUGAGUCUACACCUAACUUCGCCUGGAAAUGGAAGAUGUUAUAACAAGCUUCACAGAAGAGGUAGUAUCUGAGGAGGGGAAUAGUUCCUGAGUAAGAAAAAGAAAAGAAAAGGUUAUCUAUGUAGUUAGCACAGGGCGAUCAGAAUUUGAAACAUCCAAAAGUAGGACAGAGGGGGGCGCCUGGGUGGCUCAGUCAGUUGAGCAUCCAACUUCGGCUCAGGUCAUGAUCUCUCGGCCUGUGGGUUCGAGCCCUGCAGGGCUCAGUGCCUGGAGCCUGCUUCCGGUUCUGUGUCUCCCUCUCUUUCUGCCCCUCCCUCCCCCUCCCCCAAAGCUCUGUUUCUCUCUGUCUCUCAAAAAUGAAUAAACAUUAAAAAAAAUUAAUAAAAAAGAAACCAAACAAAAGUAGGACAGAGAGACUGAUGGGCUAUGGGGAUGCUGGUGGGAGAGGGGAGUGGACGAGUCCUGUUGGGGGAGCCUUCUGACUUGCUCUGCCUCAUCAUUUUCUUAGUACCCCAGCUUGUUGUGUGCCCAUCAUCAGGACUUGCCUCCUGUGUCCUAAGAGGAGUCCCCCCACCCCAUCCCAUCCCCCACCACUGUGGGCGGGGGCUUAGUAGGGGGCAGGGGCAAUGUGACGUAUCUGUGCCAUUUUGUUUAUGUUAUGGUGGAUUCUGCCCACAAAUGAAUAAAUACGUAGUGAAACUAGAGGAAAAGUUGAUUCCUCCCUAUGUUAUAGUCUGAGGCCACUGAGGAGGUGGUGGUGGGGGGGAGGGUGUGCUCUGCUCCACGUGGUCAUGUAGGGGCUCAAGCUUUCAUCCACGGCUCUAUCAUCUCCCAGGCCUUUGGAUCCUCUGUGGGCUUUUCGAUCACAUUUCACUGACCAGAACGCAGCCACGCGGCACCCCCUCUCUGCAAGCAGCUUGGAAACGAGGUCCGGCACUGUGCCAAGGGAGGAGAGGACGACGUGGGUAUCGAGGAAAGGCACUUAGGGAAAAGUCUCGGUUGAAGCAACUGGGGCCAAUAAGGACCAGAAACGGAUGAGAUGCUCCAGCAAGAAGCAGAGGGCCUGAAAGAGAAAUCUGGACCCCAGACACAGGAAGAAAGGCAGAAGACAGCCAGCGUCCAGGCACUUCAAAGAAACCCACUCGGAAGCCAGGACUUGGGGAGCUAGGCAAGGAUGUCUCACAAACGCAGUUCCCCAAGUGUGUUUCUGCAAAACUCCUUGAAGGUUCUGAGGGGGGCGAACAGGAGAGAACUUCCAGACAAGGAGAGCAAGAGGGACUUUGCAGAUGUGAUUACAUUAAGGAUCUUGGGAUGGGGAGACCCUGGAUUAUCUGGGUGAGCCCAAUGUAAUCACAAGGGUCCUUCUAAGAGGAAACCGGAGGAGACAGAGGAGAAAAAGGCAAUGUGGCAACAGAAACAGAGAUCGGAGCGAUAUGGCUGGAAGCCAAGGAAUGCCAGCAAACUCUAGAAGCUGCAAGAGACAAGAAACGGAUUCUCCCCUGGAGCCUCCCCAAGGAAGGAGCCCUGUCAACACCUUGACUUUAGCACAGUCAGCCUGCUUUUGGACUUUGACCUCCGGAAAUGUAAGAGAAUACUUUCUUCUAUUUUAAGUCACUGAGUUUGUGGAAAUUUGUUAGGUAGUCAUAGGAAACUAAUAUAGAGAAUAUAAGGUAAUUACAAAGCACCCAUAUCAAACCACCCUUUGGACUAAACACACACACUAGGGGUGCCCGGGUGGCUGUCGGUUGAGCAUCUGACUUGGGCUCAGCUCAGGAUCUCGUGAUGCGUGAGUUCAAGCCCCGCGUCGGUCUCUGUGCUGACAGCUCAGAGCCUGGAGCCUGCUUUGGAUUCUGUGUCUCCCUCUCUCUCUGCCUUUCCCCCACUCACACUCUGCCUCUCUCUCUCUCUCUCAAAAAUAAACGUUAAAAAAGUUUUUUUUAAACACGCUAGCCACUCUAUUUACAGCCCUGCAGUGUUUGCUAAUUGUUUCCUGUGUCUUACUACUCUCACUAGACUGGAUCGUAAGGAAGCUCUUGGGGUAACUCUAUCCCAACCUCCAUUACUGGCUUUCUGAAAUACCAAGCUCAAAACUGUCCAGAGUAGUCAUGCUGCACUGGGUCCAGCCCAGCGUAAAUGAGGCAUCUGGACAUGUCUCAUGAAUUCCGAGGGGGGCCUGUAUCCAGGUGGUGAUUUGCAUGUGUGGACCUGUCGAGGAAAAAAGAAGGAAGCGUGAAGACGGUGUGUGAAGGCCUGGGGCAGGGCUGAGUGGAGGGACAGGAUGGCACUUGUCUCUUCUCAGCCCAGACUAAUUAAUGCCAUGGGCUGAGUCCUGUGGAGCCGCAGGCAGAGGCUGCAUGGACAGCUCUCAAGAACCCUGAGAUGUGGGGCACGAGUGGCCCCUAUCUGGGUGACGACACCGGGCUGGGGACAGAGUCAUUCCCCCCACUUGCGCACUGAGUGCAGGACAGCUCUGGUACGAUGAGGAAGGAGGGACAAGCAGCACCAUUUGGCCUUCCCUGGAGGAUGGAUGGGAGUGCCCCUGGUCACUCCUCUUUGGGCAGUGAAUCAGUGGGGAGCCCCAUGGCUAAGGCAAGGGACAGUCACCAUCCAAUGGUGGUUGGGGAGAGAAUCAAGUGAAGGGAUCAUUUCUGAGCAUAUGUAAGACAUUUCUGGGGGCUCUAUUGUGUAGACACAGAGGUAGGAAGGAGGCAAGGCUUUGUAUCAGGGAGGUGGAAACACAAAUCGGCAAAAUGCAAGCUAUUAAUGUGCAUUUGAACUUAUUUGUGCCCAGUGGUUGGUGAAGCCAGGACUCCUUCAAGGAUCAGUUAAUUACUGCUUUUAGAUUAAAUGUAUUCAAUAAUGGAAAUGGACCUGAGAGCCAACUUGAACAAACGAAAGCAUUUUGUGUUUUGAAAGCAUUGAGCUCAACUGGGUGUUGAUUUCACCCAUCGUUUGCUAAUCAGAUCCCGGACCCCUUGGUGUCGGUGUGCUGUGUAAGUCAGGUUUCUGAUGUGGCAAAAACCUGGUCUUUUUGUUGACUGUGGUUUUCCCAGUCCUUAGCACAGUGCCUGAUGCAUAGAGCCACUCCGUAAAUAUUCAUACUAUCCCUACAUUAUAAAUCCCUACAUUAGCUAAGUCAGAGAUGCAUGUUACUGACCCUUUACCUCCACUUUUACCUUCCACCUCCUGGAAUCGUGCAGUGUUAUCAUGUUACCAAAAUCAGCAAGCAAAAUGCAUCUUCUUUAGCAGGGAUUUCGGUGUUUGGCCUAGCCAUGACAAAGGAAGCAUACUGAGAUUUUGUGUAUGGGCAAGAGGAUGGGAAAUUCGAACCCAACAUCCUACGCCUUGCCUGUGAGUCCCCCCCUGAAAGCCACUGAAUGACAUCUGGCAAAAGCCCCAUGAAGCAUCCCCAUCCUCCGUGGCUUUACCGAUCAGCACCGUGUAGGCUUGCAGUUGCCUAGGAAUCUUCUC